rnacentral:rRNA from 1 species
UACGAAGGGGGCUAGCGUUGCUCGGAAUCACUGGGCGUAAAGGGCGCGUAGGCGGCCCGCACAAGUCUGCGGGGGAAACCCCCGGCUUAACCGGGGGCCGGCCGUGGAAACUGUCGGGCUGGAGGACGGGAGAGGGCGGCGGAAUUCCCGGUGUAGCGGUGAAAUGCGUAGAGAUCGGGAGGAACACCGGCGGCGAAGGCGGCCGCCUGGACCGGCCCUGACGCUGAGGCGCGAAAGCGAGGGGAGCAAACAGG